ACAGGCACCUGCAUCCCCCAGGCUUCUCUUUUCAGUUUGCCACUCCACAGCAAUCAUUUCUGGCUGGCGGUAUACCUGGGGAACCCAGCAGAAGCAAAUGCAAACCUGCUCUGGAAGAACAAAUCCACACCUUAGGCCACGUGGAAUUCCCACAGGGAAAAAUAAAUCUCCCUGAAGAAUUUAUAAUACAGAUGUAUAAAACACUAAAGGAAAAGAUCCUUUAUGAAUAAGAGUCAGUAGAUAAAAUAGGCAGAAUGAUUCACUCCCCCGCAACUCGAGACGACAGAACAGGUUUAAAAUAUUAUAAAUAUAUUAGGCUUUGGUGAGUUAAGGAAA
rnacentral:lncRNA from 1 species